rnacentral:rRNA from 1 species
AUUGAACGCUGGCGGCAUGCCUUACACAUGCAAGUCGAACGGUAACAGGUUAAGCUGACGAGUGGCGAGCGGGUGAGUAAUAUAUCGGAACGUGCCAGUCGUGGGGGAUAACGUAGCGAAAGCUACGCUAAUACCGCAUACGAUCUACGGAUGAAAGCGGGGGAUCGCAAGACCUCGCGCGAUUGGAGCGGCCGAUAUCAGAUUAGGUUGUUGGUGAGGUAAAAGCUCACCAAGCCUGCGAUCUGUAGCUGGUCUGAGAGGAAGACCAUCCACACUGGAACUGAGAAGCGGUCCAGACUCCUACGGGAGGCAGCAGUAGGGAAUUUUGGACAAUGGACGCAAGUCUGAUCCAGCAAUGCCGCGUGCAGGACGAAGGCCUUCGGGUUGUAAACUGUUUUUGUACGGAACGAAACGGUAAGCUCUAAUACAGUUUGCUAAUGACGGUACCGUAAGAAUAAGCACCGGCUAACUACGUGCCAGCCGCCGCCGUAA